UGGGGAAUAUUGGACAGUGGGCGCAAGCCUGAUCCAGCAAUGCCGCGUGUGUGAAGAAGGCCUUCGGGUUGUAAAGCACUUUAAGCAGGGAAGAAAAAAUCUCGGUCUAAUACAUCGAGUCUUGACGGUACCUGAAGAAUAAGCACCGGCUAACUCUGUGCCAGCAGCCGCGGUAAUACAGAGGGUGCUAGCGUUAAUCGGAUUUACUGGGCGUAAAGCGUGUGUAGGUGGUUGUUCAAGUCAGUUGUGAAAUCCCUGGGCUUAACCUGGGAACUGCUUCUGAGACUGAACGACUAGAGUACGGUAGAGGGUGGUGGAAUUUCCCGGUGUAGCGGUGAAAUGCGUAGAUAUCGGAAGGAACAUCAUGGCGAAGGCAGCCACCUGGGCCUGUACUGACACUGAGACACGAAAGCGUGGGGGAUCAAACAGGAUUAGAUACCCUGGUAGUCCACGCCGUAAACGAUGAGAACUUGACGUCGGUUUGCUCUGCAAGUCGGUGUCGUACUAACGCG
rnacentral:rRNA from 1 species